AAUUCGAGGGGCCCACAGCCAGGCUCCAAAUCGAAUCGAAGCGUCGCCUGUACGCUACCACGACUCCUCCCGCUCUCGCGGCCGCCGCCUCCCUCCCCACGCCGCAAGCCCUAGCAAUGGAUCGGUCGGCCUGGAAUGAGAGACUCCCUCCCGGGCGUCCCCGCACCGCGGGAGCUCGCCCCCUCCUCUUCCCGUGCCGCUGCGCAGGUCCUCUCGUCCCUCCUCGAGGCUCCGAACCCUAACGAAGGGGCGGGCCAUGGGAAGGCAGGCGGCGAGGUCUCAGCCGGGGGGCGCGCCUCCGCGUGGUCGCGGCGCAGUAGGAGGAUCACGGCGACGGCGUGCGACGCCUCCACCGUCUUGUAAGUGACGUCCCCCUCCACCGGAACAUCUAAAGGGAUCAACAUGCAUGGUAGUGAGCUGAUCAUCUCCUUCAUUAAGAACCUAUAAGUUAGCAGGGAUUCUGAUGUCUUCACUUGCGAUAAAUUCGUAUUUUUAUCAUUCUAUGUGUCAGGAAUAAUGUGCGUGGAUCGUGUUGGAUGAGUGCUUACUGGCUGGGCCUAUUGGUGAAUGUGAAAGAGCAGGAAUCUCCAUUUGGGGUGGGUGCUUUUGAUUUUAUUAUUAGUAGGAUUCCUUAUUAGUAUGUGCUGGGUUGGGGUUACUACAUUUAAUUCGGCCAUCUUUGGUCUGUAAUCAGUUCGUAAUGGGCCGUUAACUAUAUUGCUCGUGGCUCUGCGUGGCAGCCUCAUGCUUGUUUUGUUUUUGCCUUUGUGUGUUUGCAGUAAA